UACGUAGGUGGCGAGCGUUGUCCGGAUUUACUGGGCGUAAAGGGCGCGUAGGCGGCAACUCAAGUCAGCUGUGGAAUCUCCGAGCUUAACUCGGAACGGUCAGCUGAUACUGUUUUGCUAGAGUGCAGAAGGGGCAAUCGGAAUUCUUGGCGUAGCGGUGAAAUGCGUAGAUAUCAAGAGGAACACCUGAGGUGAAGACGGGUUGCUAGGCUGACACUGACGCUGAGGCGCGAAAGCCAGGGGAGCAAACGGG
rnacentral:rRNA from 1 species